rnacentral:rRNA from 1 species
UUGCUCUUCAACGAGGAAUGCCUAGUAAGCGCAUGUCAUCAGCAUGCGUUGAUUACGUCCCUGCCCUUUGUACACACCGCCCGUCGCUACUACCGAUUGAAUGGCUCAGUGAGGCCUUCGGACUGGCUUAGGGAGGUUGGCAACGACCACCCCGAGCCGGAAAGUUCGUCAAACUCGGUCAUUUAGAGGAAGUAAAAGUCGUAACAAGGUUUCCGUAGGUGAACCUGCGGAAGGAUCAUUAUCGUAGGGAUUCGUCCCUAUUGAGAUAGCACCCUUUGUUUAUGAGCACCAUUUGUUUCCUCGGCGGGCUUGCCCGCCGCUAGGACCCCCAAAUAAACCUUUGCAGUAGCAGUAUCUUCAGUAAAAAACAAAAUAUUAAAACUUUCAACAACGGAUCUCUUGGUUCUGGCAUCGAUGAAGAACGCAGCGAAAUGCGAUAAGUAGUGUGAAUUGCAGAAUUCAGUGAAUCAUCGAAUCUUUGAACGCACAUUGCGCCCUUCGGUAUUCCGUUGGGCAUGCCUGUUCGAGCGUCAUUUAACCCUUCAAGCUCUGCUUGGUGUUGGGCGUUUGUUCCGCCUCCGCGCGUGGACUCGCCUCAAAUUCAUUGGCAGCCGGUAAGUUGGCUUCGUGCGCAGCACAUUGCGUCGCGACUCCAGCGUGCCUCCUUCCAGCAAGCUCUAUUAUCACUUUGACCUCGGAUCAGGUAGGGAUACCCGCUGAACUUAAGCAUAUCAAUAAGCGGAGGA